rnacentral:rRNA from 1 species
UACGAAGGGGGCUAGCGUUGCUCGGAAUCGCUGGGCGUAAAGGGUGCGUAGGCGGGUCUUUAAGUCAGGGGUGAAAUCCUGGAGCUCAACUCCAGAACUGCCUCUGAUACUGAGGAUCUUGAGUUCGGGAGAGGUGAGUGGAACUGCGAGUGUAGAGGUGAAAUUCGUAGAUAUUCGCAAGAACACCAGUGGCGAAGGCGGCUCACUGGCCCGAUACUGACGCUGAGGCACGAAAGCGUGGGGAGCAAACAGG